GACGAACGCUGGCGGCGUGCUUAACACAUGCAAGUCGAACGGAAAGGCCCUGCUUUUGUGGGGUGCUCGAGUGGCGAACGGGUGAGUAACACGUGAGUAACCUGCCCUUGACUUUGGGAUAACUUCAGGAAACUGGGGCUAAUACCGGAUAGGAGCUCCUGUUGCAUGGUGGGGGUUGGAAAGUUUCGGCGGUUGGGGAUGGACUCGCGGCUUAUCAGCUUGUUGGUGGGGUAGUGGCUUACCAAGGCCUUGACGGGUAGCCGGCCUGAGAGGGUGACCGGCCACAUUGGGACUGAGAUACGGCCCAGACUCCUACGGGAGGCAGCAGUGGGGAAUAUUGCACAAUGGGCGGAAGCCUGAUGCAGCAACGCCGCGUGCGGGAUGACGGCCUUCGGGUUGUAAACCGCUUUCGCCUGUGACGAAGCGUGAGUGACGGUAAUGGGUAAAGAAGCACCGGCUAACUACGUG
rnacentral:rRNA from 1 species